GGAGGAAAGCGACAAAAACAUAGAAAUUCAGAGGAAACGUUUGUCAGGCUAGAAGUAUUUACACACGGAAAAUAGUGAUGAAGUAGCAUGUUCCGGAUUAAAAUUGUCGUAUAAGUUCUCGACAAGAGGAUGAAAUUCGAUUUUAUAAUGUUUCUUGCAUUAUAUUUGCAAAUGAUCUUGGACAGCUCUGGACAAAGAUCAUGCAACGACGAUAGAUUUGUGAUUGACAGUUGCAGUGGACAGGAAAUUUCCAAUAAUAACAUUCUUAUAGAUUUUGGCAUCAUUGAAACUCGGUGUGACUGUAAGGUCAGUUUAAAUUUCUCUAGUCAGUAUUUCUACAGUUUGGCAGCAAAUCCCGGAUAUGAUGGCUGUGGGACAGCGAUAGAAAUAUCAGUUGAUAGUAAUACAACCUCUAGAUUACUUUGUACUUCCAAGCAACCAAGCACUGUAUUUGGUAAAUCUAACGAAACCAACCAUACUGUGAAAUUCAUACCUUCCGUCAAUCAGAACAUCAAAGGAAACAGUGGUUAUUGUGUACGCAUUGCAAGUAACGAAAUAUAAAAUUACUUCCAUGUCUACCGUGGCACGUUAGAAACAGAGUGGUCAACGACUGCAGGCUACCAGCUGAUCAGCACUGAUGCAGUAUUGCAAAGAAACACAUCUGGCUCCAGAGUCGAUAAGACGAACUCACUAUAGUGGAUAGUAAUUGGUGUAGCGUCCGGUGGAAGUGCGGCUAUAUUAGCAGUAUUUACAGUGAUUAUAGUCUGGAUCCAUAACAGACACAAGAAGGACGUUCCUUAUACGAAAAAGAUAGUAUCAAGUCAACAAGCUGUUGGAAAGGAGAAGAGAGUUGAAAGUGGUCUUAAGGACAACCCGUUGUAUCAAUCAGCUGAUGAAGUUUCGUACAUGCGUAAUCAGCACCCAACUCUUCCACCGAUCCGCAACAGUCUGGGUUUAAUAGAGAACACUUUAUAUCAGUCUGCAGAUGGUGAUAUACAGGUUAGAGAGGGAAGUUUAAAGAACAAGGACAGCGACAAUAUAUCUGAUCUCCCAAUGUAUUCAGAAAUAAACCAUAGCCAUAAAUAAAACAAGGAAGAUAAAGAGCUGCAUAAUUUAGAGUAAGGUCAUUGGACUAGCUGUGAUAUACUUUGGAGUACUAGAGUAUGCGCCCCAUGAAUAAGGCUUCAGGAGGGAGACUAUUUUGUGCAUUGAUGCGUGUCCAACAUGGUAUCCAGUGAAUCUUUCUUGAAUCAAAACUAGAAUGGAAAUCGAAACUAAAUAACAAGAUCACCCGUUCAUUUCUGUUCAAAACUGUGGAAUCUGUUGGUCAAUUUUGAAAGAAAGUGAUGCAAAUAAAAAUUUUCAAACAUC